UACGUAGGGCGCAAGCGUUGUCCGGAAUUAUUGGGCGUAAAGAGCUCGUAGGCGGUUUGUCGCGUCUGCUGUGAAAUCCCGAGGCUCAACCUCGGGCUUGCAGUGGGUACGGGCAGACUAGAGUGCGGUAGGGGAGACUGGAAUUCCUGGUGUAGCGGUGGAAUGCGCAGAUAUCAGGAGGAACACCGAUGGCGAAGGCAGGUCUCUGGGCCGCAACUGACGC
rnacentral:rRNA from 1 species